rnacentral:SRP_RNA from 1 species
GCCGGGCACAGUGGUGCAUGCCUGUAAUCCCAGCUACUUGGGAGGCUGAGGCAGGAGAAUCACUUGAACCAGGGAGGCAGGGCUGCAGUGAGCCAAGAUCGUGCCACUGCGUGCCACUGCACUCCAGCCCGGGUGACACAGUGAGACUCAGUCUCAA